CCCUUAGAUUGUCUGGGCGGCACGCGCGCUACAAUGAUGCAUUCAAAAAGUCUUCUGACCUUAGAAGGUUGGGUAUUCUCCAAAGUGCAUCGUGAUGGGAAUAGUUUAUUGCAAUUUUUAAUCUUGAACGAGGAAUUCCUAGUAAGUACAGGUCAUCAACUUGUGUUGAUUACGUCCCUGCCCUUUGUACACACCGCCCGUCGCUCCUACUGAUUGAGUGUCUCGGUGAAUUCGUUGAUCUUCUGUCGAUUCAGUUCACUGAUCCGACGGUGGAAAGUUGAAUGAACUUCGUCACUUAGAGGAAGGAGAAGUCGUAACG
rnacentral:rRNA from 1 species